rnacentral:rRNA from 1 species
GACGAACGCUGGCGGCGUGCUUAACACAUGCAAGUCGAACGGAAAGGCCCUGCUUUUGUGGGGUGCUCGAGUGGCGAACGGGUGAGUAACACGUGAGUAACCUGCCCUUGACUUUGGGAUAACUUCAGGAAACUGGGGCUAAUACCGGAUAGGAGCUCCUGCUGCAUGGUGGGGGUUGGAAAGUUUCGGCGGUUGGGGAUGGACUCGCGGCUUAUCAGCUUGUUGGUGGGGUAGUGGCUUACCAAGGCUUUGACGGGUAGCCGGCCUGAGAGGGUGACCGGCCACAUUGGGACUGAGAUACGGCCCAGACUGCUACGGGAGGCAGCAGUGGGGAAUAUUGCACAAUGGGGGGAAGCCUGAUGCAGCAACGCCGCGUGCGUGAUGACGGCCUUCGGGUUGUAAACCGCUUUCGCCGGUGACGAAGCGUGAGUGACGGUAAUGGGUAAAGAAGCACCGGCUAACUACGUG